UAUCCUACGGGGGGCAGCAGUGAGGAAUAUUGGUCAAUGGGCGCAAGCCUGAACCAGCCAAGUCGCGUGAGGGAAGACGGCCCUACGGGUUGUAAACCUCUUUUGCCGGGGAGCAAGCCUGAGCACGUGUGCCCAGGCGGAGAGUACCCGGGGAAAAAGCAUCGGCUAACUCGGGGCCAGCAGCCGCGGUAAUACGGAGGAUGCGAGCGUUAUCCGGAUUUAUUGGGUUUAAAGGGUGGGAAGGCGGGCUGUUAGGCCGGCGGGAAAAAUUCAGGGCUCAAACC
rnacentral:rRNA from 1 species